rnacentral:pre_miRNA from 1 species
ACAUACUUCCUUAUCACUCCAUACCUGCUUUGGAAUCUGUAUGGAAUGUAAUGAAGUAUGUAU